rnacentral:rRNA from 1 species
UACGUAGGGUGCGAGCGUUAAUCGGAAUUACUGGGCGUAAAGCGUGCGCAGGCGGUUAUUUAAGUCAGGUGUGAAAUCCCCGGGCUCAACCUGGGAACUGCAUCUGUGACUGCAUAGCUAGAGUACGGUAGAGGGGGAUGGAAUUCCGCGUGUAGCAGUGAAAUGCGUAGAUAUGCGGAGGAACACCGAUAGCGAAGGCAAUCCCCUGGACCUGUACUGACGCUCAUGCACGAAAGCGUGGGGAGCAAACAGG